rnacentral:rRNA from 1 species
AAAUCAUCAUGCCCCUUAUGACCUGGGCUACACACGUACUACAAUGGCCGGUACAACGGGCUGCGAAAUCGCGAGAUGGAGCCAAUCCCAACAAAGCCGGUCUCAGUUCGGAUUGCAGGCUGCAACUCGCCUGCAUGAAGUCGGAAUUGCUAGUAAUCGCGGAUCAGCAUGCCGCGGUGAAUACGUUCCCGGGUCUUGUACAC